rnacentral:rRNA from 1 species
CCUACGGGUGGCAGCAGUGAGGAAUAUUGGUCAAUGGGCGAGAGGCUGAACCAGCCAAGUCGCGUGAGGGAAGAAUGUCCUAUGGAUUGUAAACCUCUUUUGUCAGGGAGCAAAGUCACCCACGUGUGGGUGUUGGAGAGUACCCGAAGAAAAAGCAUCGGAUAACUCCGGGCCAGCCGACGCGGUAAUAAGGAGGAUGCGAGCGUUAUCCGGAUUUAUUGGGUUUAAAGGGUGCGUAGGCGGGAUAUCAAGUCAGCGGUAAAAUCGUGGAGCUCAACUCCGUCCCGCCGUUGAAAAUGGUGAUCUUGAGUGGGCGAGAAGUAUGCGGAAUGCGUGGUGUAGCGGUGAAAUGCAUAGAUAUCACGCAGAACUCCGAUUGCGAAGGCAGCAUACCGGCGCCCAACUGACGCUGAAGCACGAAAGCGUGGGUAUCGAACAGGAUUAGAUACCCGAGUAGUC